CAUAGGUUAAUGAGGCGAACCGGGGGAACUGAAACAUCUAAGUACCCCGAGGAAAAGAAAUCAACCGAGAUUCCCCCAGUAGCGGCGAGCGAACGGGGAGGAGCCCAGAGCCUGAAUCAGUGUGUGUGUUAGUGGAAGCGUCUGGAAAGGCGCGCGAUACAGGGUGACAGCCCCGUACACAAAAAUGCACAUGCUGUGAGCUCGAUGAGUAGGGCGGGACACGUGGUAUCCUGUCUGAAUAUGGGGGGACCAUCCUCCAAGGCUAAAUACUCCUGACUGACCGAUAGUGAACCAGUACCGUGAGGGAAAGGCGAAAAGAACCCCGGCGAGGGGAGUGAAAAAGAACCUGAAACCGUGUACGUACAAGCAGUGGGAGCCUCUUAAUGGGGUGACUGCGUACCUUUUGUAUAAUGGGUCAGCGACUUAUAUUCUGUAGCAAGGUUAACCGAAUAGGGGAGCCGAAGGGAAACCGAGUCUUAACUGGGCGUUAAGUUGCAGGGUAUAGACCCGAAACCCGGUGAUCUAGCCAUGGGCAGGUUGAAGGUUGGGUAACACUAACUGGAGGACCGAACCGACUAAUGUUGAAAAAUUAGCGGAUGACUUGUGGCUGGGGGUGAAAGGCCAAUCAAACCGGGAGAUAGCUGGUUCUCCCCGAAAGCUAUUUAGGUAGCGCCUCGUGAAUUCAUCUCCGGGGGUAGAGCACUGUUUCGGCAAGGGGGUCAUCCCGACUUACCAAC
rnacentral:rRNA from 1 species